AUUGAACGCUGGCGGCAUGCUUUACACAUGCAAGUCGAACGAGUGGCGAACGGGGGAGUAAUAUAUCGGAACGUACCGAGUAAUGGGGGAUAACCAAUCGAAAGAUUGGCUAAUACCGCAUAUUAUUCGAGCGGCCGAAAACGGAUGAGCUAGUUGGUGGGGAAAAGGCCUACCAAGGGGACGCGCAGUAGCGGGUCUGAGAGGACGAUCCGCCACACUGGAACUGAGACACGGCCCAGACUCCUACGGGAGGCAGCAUUGGGGAAUUUUGGACAAUGGGGGCAACCCUGAUGCAGCCAUGCCGCGUGUAUGAAGAAGGCCUUCGGGUUGUAAAGUACUUUUGUUAGGGAAGCGGUACCUAAAGAAUAAGCACCGGCUAACUACGUGCCAGCCGCCGCGGUAAUAC
rnacentral:rRNA from 1 species